rnacentral:tRNA from 1 species
CAGUGGUGCAGUGGUUAGCACUCUUGCCUCACAGCAAGAAGGUCCCCGGUUCAAGUCCCGGCUG